AUUGAACGCUGGUGGCUGGCCUAACACAUGCAAGUCGAACGAGUGGCGGACGGGUGAGUAAUGUCUGGGAAACUGCCUGAUGGAGGGGGAUAACUACUGGAAACGGUCGCUAAUACCGCAUACCAUCAGAUGUGCCCAGAUGGGAUUAGCUUGUUGGUGGAGUAACGGCUCACCAAGGCGACGAUCCCUAGCUGGUUUGAGAGGAUGACCAGCCAAACGGGAACGGAGACACGGUCCAGACUCCUACGGGAGGCAGCAGGGGGUAGUAGUGCACAAUGGGAGAAAGCCUGAGGCAGCCAUGCCGCGUGUAUGAAGAAGGCCUUCGGGUUGUAAAGUACUUUCAGCGGGGAGGCGUUACCCGCAGAAGAAGCACCGGCUAACUCCGUGCCAGCAGCCGCGGUAAUAC
rnacentral:rRNA from 1 species